rnacentral:rRNA from 1 species
CCUACGGGUGGCAGCAGUGAGGAAUAUUGGUCAAUGGCCGGAAGGCUGAACCAGCCAUGCCGCGUGAAGGGCAGCGCCCUAGGGGCGUUAAACUUCUUUUGUGCGGGAGCAACAAUGGUCACGUGUGGCCAGACGAGAGUACCGUUCGAAUAAGCACCGGCUAACCCCGGGCCAGCAGCCGCGGUAAUACGGGGGAUGCAAGCGUUUGCCGGAUUUAGUGGGUUUAAAGGGUGCGUAGGCUGUGAGGUAAGUCAGCGGUGAAAUGCCCCGCUCAACGGGGUGAAGUGCCAUUGAUACUGCCGUGCUGGAGUGCGGAUGCCGUGGGAGGAAUGUGUGGUGUAGCGGUGAAAUGCAUAGAUAUCACACAGAACACCGAUUGCGAAGGCAUCUCACGAAUCCGCGAUUGACGCUGAUGCACGAAAGCGUGGGUAUCAAACAGGAUUAGAUACCCCAGUAGUC